CAACGCACAGUGCUCACGCAACCCCACCCGCCAGCCAGACGGUUUAAAACCAGAGAGAGAAAAAUAAUGCAGUUCCAUUGUUCAAACACCUCUCCCUCUCUCCCUCUCUCUCCCUUUCUGGACCUCUCACGAGCAGGGGCGCCUUUCCUCCCUCCCAUCCUCCUCCUCCUCCGGUCGAUGGAGGAGCCGCCGGACCACGCCACGGCCACGAGAUAUUCUUAACAUAUGGAUUAAGGAAUUUAUACAAGAGGGAAGCCUGUUCUUGUUUCAGCCGGAUCUCAGACUCAUAAUUGAUUGAGUUGGAAAUAAGGAAAGAACACUUCUUGAGAACAUCGCAUUGUUCCAACUAAUAUCCAACUAGGAACGCGCACAGAUUUGAGUGGCUAACAUAAAGAUCUUGUGUGGGUGCCAGUAAAUUCGACAUACAACUCACAAAAAUCAGCUGAUGAAGGGAACCUUUUUAAGUUAUAUUCCACCCUGCAACUGUACUAUGACCUUAAUUUGUUCUUUGAGAGUGACUUGUGCCUUGACCUGUGCUGUGGUACCUGUACCUCUGUAGUAGCAACGACAAUAGUGCUAAAUACAGUUGACCUGAUGAUAUUGCUCAUCACCGAUAGGAAGAAUCAUUUCGUUUUCUCCUUUCCCCAAUCAUAAUGCCCUUUUCU